rnacentral:sRNA from 1 species
GGACACACAGUGCAGGCGCCCAACCCGCCGCCGCUAGAUCGGUGCCGAUUCCUACCCUGCCCCGACCGCCAGCGCGACCAUGUCCCAUCACUGGGGGUACGGCAAACACAACGGACCUGAGCACUGGCAUAAGGACUUCCCCAUUGCCAAGGGAGAGCGCCAGUCCCCUGUUGACAUCGACACUCAUACAGCCAAGUAUGACCCUUCCCUGAAGCCCCUGUCUGUUUCCUAUGGUCAAGCAACUUCCCUGAGGAUCCUCAACAAUGGUCAUGCUUUCAACGUGGAGUUUGAUGACUCUCAGGACAAAGCAGUGCUCAAGGGAGGACCCCUGGAUGGCACUUACAGAUUGAUUCAGUUUCACUUUCACUGGGGUUCACUUGAUGGACAAGGUUCAGAGCAUACUGUGGAUAAAAAGAAAUAUGCUGCAGAACUUCACUUGGUUCACUGGAACACCAAAUAUGGGGAUUUUGGGAAAGCUGUGCAGCAACCUGAUGGACUGGCCGUUCUAGGUAUUUUUUUGAAGGUUAGUUGAUGACCCAAUUCUUUUUUUUCCCUAUUUUUAAUAAAGAAUGACCAGACAGAAUAUUUGUAACAUACAGGACAUUCUACAAAAGAGCUUAGGAAAUGCCUUUGUCCCUGAAAUGUUUUCAAGUUUAUCUCCUCCUUUCAUAUCUGCUAGUUGCA